rnacentral:rRNA from 1 species
UACGGGGGGGGCAAGCGUUGUUCGGAAUUACUGGGCUUAAAGGGCUUGUAGGCGGCCAACUAAGUCAGACGUGAAAUCCCUCAGCUUAACUGGGGAACUGCGUCUGAUACUGGAUGGCUUGGAUUUGGGAGAGGGAUGCGGAAUUCCAGGUGUAGCGGUGAAAUGCGUAGAUAUCUGGAGGAACACCGGUGGCGAAGGCGGCAUCCUGGACCAAUAUUGACGCUGAGAAGCGAAAGCCAGGGGAGCAAACGGG